AAGGCAUGCACUAAUUCACCAAAGGAAAUCCUGGUUUAACUUGGCCACGGUCAUGUCACAGCCAACAUGGCGAAGGGGAUAUGGUCUCGAUUGGUGUGUCUGGCUGCGCUCCUUGUCUGUGCUGUGGGCCUAAGUAUCCGACUGGUAUCGCCGCUGAAUAACGGUGUUGGCAGACUUGAGGUGUACUAUAACGGUUCAUGGGGAACAGUUUGUGAUGAUGACUUUGGGCAACUGGACGCUAUCGUGGCCUGCAGACAACUGGGACGAUAUGACACUGGAAUGACACCGAAGUGGAUUUCCAGCUUUGGAUUUGGAAGUGGGAAAAUCUGGCUUGAUAACCUGAACUGCAAUGGUACUGAAUCAUCUCUGAAACGUUGUUCACACAAUGGCUGGGGAACCCACAACUGUGGACACCAUGAAGAUGUUGGUAUCUUAUGUGAUGAAAAUGAGGUGACGGUAAAGUUGACACCAGGGCACACAAAAGGACUUCUACAGGUGUACCACUCCGGUAGAUGGGGCACGGUGUGUGAUGACGGUUUUGGCCAAGUAGAAGCUUCAGUUGUAUGCAGGGCUCUGGGGUACCAAGCUGGAAAGGUAAUCGAUACAAACAGCUCCAUACCAAUGUGGUUGGAUGACGUGCAGUGCACGAUGCUGAAUACAGAUCUGAAAGAUUGCAAGCACAGACAAUGGGGGGAGGACAACUGUGACCCCAGUGAAGCUGUUGGUGUCGAAUGUUUUUCAUUUGCUGAGGAGUCUACAGCGACAAGACUUGUCUCCACCACCAACACGCCAGGGGAGGGAGUGCUGGAGUUGUACUAUGACGGGCAGUGGGGACGAGUCUGCUCUACUGGGUUCGGGGUGGAAGAGGCAACAGUUGCCUGCAGAAUGUUGGGACACAACACUAUUGGGGCGAGUUACAUCGCCUACACAAAGACAUCAACACCUCCAGUUAUCUUAGACAAGGUUCAAUGUCUUGGCACAGAACUCUCCUUCAAUGAAUGUCUGCAUUAUCCUUGGGUUAAUGUAAACUGUUCUUCAUCGACUGUAGCUGGAAUACGUUGUCCCUCUGCAUAUUCUCAAAUACGCUUGAAUUCGACAAUUCGUGGACGUGGUCGGGUGGAAGUACUUCACAACAAUGUCUGGGGAACAGUUUGUAGAGGGUCGUCGUUUUCCUCACAGGAGGCACAAGUCGUGUGCAAAAUGGCCAAUUUGCCUUGGACAAGCGCCUAUGUGACAACGUCUUACGGGCCAGGUGAAGGGCUUGUUUGGAUGAGUAACGUCAACUGUGCGGGGACCGAGACCUCCCUAGACGAGUGUUCCCACACUCGUUGGGGAACAGUGACAGGCUGUUCUCACAGUAGUGAUGUUGGCGUGGUAUGUCUUGGAGCCACCCUACAAAUCCACCUGGAACCAACAGGAAGUGUCCUUAACGUCCCCCUUGGUCAGGUGAUCAGUGUCGUGUGUGUGGUCGACUACUCCAACUCCCCGGUCACUUCGUUCAGAUGGACACACAACGGACGUUCCUACAAUGGACAAACCUUAAGUAAAACAGUAACAUCCAAGUCGGACUCUGGCAGUUUAGAAUGCAGUGCAGGGAAUGUGCUAGCCUCUACUCAAAUCAACGUUCUGUACCCGCCAGUGGUACAUCUGGAACCAGGCAAUGACACCCUUGAUGCCAGUGUCGGUGAAGACCUCCGUGUAGACUGUGUAGUAGAUGAUGCCAACCCUAGUGUCCACACAUUCCGGUGGUCUCACAACGGACAAACAAGUACUGGUUCUACGUUCCUCAAACGUAACAUAACCCAUUCUGACCAAGGGAAACUGACCUGUACUGCUGAUAAUGGACACAUGAUGACACCCGGACGAGCAGUUGCACAUGUUAACGUUCGAUUACAAGUUCCGCCGUUGAUCGGGAGUGAAGACACUAUGAGCAAGAAUCAACUGAUUGCCAUUGUUACAGGAUCUGUUGGCAUUGUCACCAUUAUCAUCCUCAUCGCCGUCAUUAUACACCUGAAGAGGAGUCUGCAUGCUGCAAAACUUGAGGACAAACCAAACGAAAGAUCAGACAGAACUGAACAAGCGCGCAGGGCAGAUGAAAUAUCCGCAAGUAACCAACAGAUUUACGAGACGAUGGAGCUGUCAAGUGGAGGUGCUGAGAAUACCUACUGCCAUUUUCAGAUGACACCAGUGAGAGAUGACGACCCUGACCAAACAUACGACAACCCAGGAUUUGCAGAAGAAGAAAACUUAAAGGAAACAAGCGGAACUGUCGCGGAUGCCAACUUGAACUGAGCGAAAACAUUCGUCAACAGAGAGGAAAAGAAAGGGAAAUGAGAAAAGCAGAAGGACAGGCGUACGAUGAUGAGCCAGUCUAUCAAAACACCAGCGGCAGCAACCAGGUGGCCAUGUAACUAUUGAUACUGAUGUUAUGACCUGGGUACCUACCUGCGAUUAUGUUUUUAAUUAUACAUUAAUGUUGUCCAUGGUAGUUAUUAAUAAUGUAUCGUGUAUAUAUUUCGUAAAAUAUUUCUGAAUUACAAACAUCACAAAGUGAUGUAUGUUAUGCCAAUCCUCAUAUAUUCUUGUCAUCCUCAGCGAGCAAUCUGUUAUGAUACACCUACAAUAGCUUGAAGCACACG